UGGCCGGGAACCAUGGCCAGUGGGAGCUGUGGGGGCGGUGCCUGCAAGCGAGACUGGCGUGUGGAGCCUCCUGGCCCCCGCACCUGGGACCCGGACCUGCUGGCUGCUUCCAGGGUGCGCACAGCGCAAUCAGAGGGGCUGGGAGAGGCUGGGACCCUGCCUUAUCUCCCCCCACCCCAUUGCCCCACUGACCAGGAGCCGCCCGAGGAUUAUUUCCCGGAUUCGUGCCCCAAUCAGAGCUGCCUCCUGCUGGCCAAGAUCCAGGAGGUGAAUCUCGGGCUGCGAAACCUACUGGCCAGCCCUGGAAAGGCUGACCCCCCACCCUGCUUCCCCUCCAGCCGGUUUGGGGGCCCCCUCUUCCAAAUGGGAAAGCAGCAGGAAUUUCAGCAGCAAGCCGUGAACGUGCUGAAGGAGCAGAACCGCCUGCUCAUCAAGGAGGUGUCGGAGAAGAGCGACCGCAUCGCCCAGCUGGAGCAGGAGAAGGCGGCCCUGUGCAGGCAACUCCAGGAGAGCCGGGGCUACCGGCUGUCCAGCCACAAGGAGUCCACCUUCAUCUGAUGGACGAGGUCACUUCCUCCUGCAGACCUACCUGACGAGGUCACUUCCUCCUGCAGACCUACCUGACGAGGUCACUUCCUCUCUCACACCAGCCAGACCCUUCUGAGAGAAAAGACCUAAUUUUCACCCAACACAAUGAUAUCACUUCCUGUCGAUCUCCCAAGGCCAAUGAGGUUAUUUCCUUCUGUCCCACCCCCCCAAUCCACAAUGAAGUCAUUUCCUGCUGGACCUGGAAGGAACUAGCUCACUUCCUCCUCCUGGCCUAUUAUGUAAUUUCCUCCUUCCUGUCAUUGGUCCAUGAUGUCACUCUCCUGAUGGUAUUACAUCAUCUUCAGACUCUGCUGACAUCACUUCCACUUCAGAGCCUUUAGGUGUCACUUCCUCCCGUUCCUCCUGCUCGCCUUUUCUGAUGAUGUCACUGAGGUCUUCACUUCCUGUCCCUUCUUCCUCCAGCCCCUGUGCGGUUUCAUCAUGGUCAAUUCCAACCCCGCCCCACCCUCUGAGGUCACGGCAUUUCUCAUGGACACACGCACACAGCCUGACACAACCACCCCAUGAUGUCACACUCCUGGCUUCCUGUCAUCUGGGAGCCUCCCGAUGACAUCACUUCCCAUUUUGACAGGCUGGUCUCCGAGACUGGGGAGCAGGGGGAAAACAACAGUGAAGAAUUAUGGGUAACAAGAGGGCUAAUAACCGACUGUCCAAAGAGGCUUUCAAUGGGGAAUACCCACAGUGCUUUGCAUCAGCACCAGCAUGACCCUUCACUAUAGAUCUAUGGGAUCCCCACCCCACCCUGCAUCCCCGUCCACUUCCCCUUUGACUCCCCCUCUCCCCCCACACACACCUGUCAACCUUACUUUUACCUGUGUGCAUUUUCAGGGUUCCCUCCCUGACCCCUCUGUGGAGUGUGACACAUUGUCUAUGUCUAAGUGCCCUCUAGUGGCUGGAUUCAGACCUGCACAUGUGUCAUUAGCCCUCUAGAGCUAAAAGCUGAUGGGGAUUCUCCUUCCACCACCUACCUUUACCCACAGCAUCCCUUUGACAACACAUGGCGUGAGCUUUAACCUCCGUGUUAGCCCCCAUCCACCCCCACUUCAGACAAGGGAUGUGGGGGGAAGACGCCUCCAAGAUAUUUAUUCUAAUGGCUGUAAAUAAAUUGAUUAGAAUUAAUAUAAUAAAGUUAUAA
rnacentral:lncRNA from 1 species